UUUUUUGUCCAGUCGCAUGCCGUGUGCAACUAUUUGUUGAUGCUGCAUUGCAGGCGUUAGCUAUUGCGUCUACGGUAUCCGUCUACACAGAAGCUACCUUGUCGCUCAGAGUCUGGUGUUCAGCAGCAACGUUUAUUUAGCAACCAUGAAGUGGACCUUGAUGUUCGUCUGUGUUCUUGUUUGCCUUGUCGAUGGAAUUGCGGCAUUGAAUUGCUAU